rnacentral:rRNA from 1 species
GACGAACGCUGGCGGCGCGCCUAACACAUGCAAGUCGAACGGAGUUAUUCUGAAUGAAGUUUUCGGAUGGAUUUUGGAUUAACUUAGUGGCGAACGGGUGAGUAACGCGUGAGUAACCUGCCCUGGAGUGGGGGACAACAGUUGGAAACGACUGCUAAUACCGCAUAAGCCCACGGUGCCGCAUGGCACAGCGGGAAAAGGAUUUAUUCGCUUCAGGAUGGACUCGCGUCCAAUUAGCUAGUUGGUGAGGUAACGGCCCACCAAGGCGACGAUCAGUAGCCGACCUGAGAGGGUGACCGGCCACAUUGGGACUGAGACACGGCCCAGACUCCUACGGGAGGCAGCAGUGGGGAAUAUUGCACAAUGGGGAAACCCUGAUGCAGCGACGCCGCGUGAAGGAUGAAGUAUUUCGGUAUGUAAACUUCUAUCAGCAGGGAAGAGGAUGACGGUACCUGACUAAGAAGCCCCGGCUAACUACGUGCCAGCAGCCGCGGU